CUCCUCAACCUCUGAGUCUCCAUAACCUCUGAGCCUCCUCAACCUCUGAGUCUCUAAACCUCUGAACCUCUGCAACCUCUGAACCUUUGCAACCUUUCAGACCCCUGCAACCUUUCAGACCCAUGCAACCUUUCAGACCCCUGCAACCUUUCAGACCCAUGCAACCUUUCAGACCCCUGCAACCUUUCAGACCUCUGCAACCUUCCAGACCUCUGCACCAUUACUCUCACAGUAAUAGUUCUGCAGCUAUCUUCGCCCUCAUUGCUCAAACAGGUUCUCUCUUACCUUGCUUUAAUACUUAUGUGUGAUUGUAAUAUCCAAGAUUUACCUUCAUACUGCCCUCAUCACUGGAAGUUAUUUUCCAGUUACUGUUUAUGUGCUCAGUAAGUUUCCUAUCUCUUUGCUUAAAAAAACCUACUCCGGUUAUCUCUCUGUUUAUUUAUCUCUCUGUUUAUUUAUCUCUCUGUUUAUUUCUCUGCUUCUAGUGUUUCCUCUAUGUAAUAUCUUUUCAUAUGUAAUAUCUUUUCAUGUAAAAUUUCUCUUGUACAUUAAUAAAGUGUGGACCUAGUAUGUGUUUACUUAUGCUUGCAUAUUAUGCAAUUUAAGAUUUUAUUUAAUAUUAAAAUAGGCAAUACUAGUUAUGCUCAGUGGAUAGUACUUGACAUCUCAAUAGUUCCGUUAAUAGGAAUCAUAUUGUUCUGUCUCAAUUAUUAUAGAAUUUUACAAUCACUAGUUCAAUACAACAGUCUGUUGUUUACAUACUUAUUAUAAUCCCUGCAAUCAAAAAUCAAAAUUCAAAUAAAUAGCAAAACAAGGGUUAAGAGUGACAGUGCUGUAGAUCCUGGCGCAAAUUGGUAUCAGAGCCAUAACAGUGAAACACUGUCAAAACAAAUUACAACAGUAGAACUAUUCCAAAGUGGAACUGUGCAAACAGUUACAACUGAAGAAUUUGUAAAACUGUUCUUUUUAUUCUAUAAUUAAGAUUAAGAGACAAUUUACCAUAAGAAACUAAGUGAAAUUGACCACCAAGAAAGUUGGUCCGAGAGUUAAGACAAGAGACAAGUGAAAGCCGAUGCAAAAAGUACCGCCAAGGCCAGGAGAGCCGCUUAGGGAAAAAAGCUAAGGCCACUGAAUGUCCAGAUUGUCAUUAUCCGCAACCUACGGAUGGCUAAUCUCAUAAAGAAUCUUACUGGUAAAACUGUAUCUUCAUCUUCAAAACUUAGAGUUAAGAAUAAAGAACAAAUUAUUAUAAAUGAUAUUGAGGAAAAUAUUCAAAAUUGGAAUAUUCCUAAAGUACCAAUUCAUGAUGUUUAUAAUAAAGGAUCAUUCAAACUCAAGAUGGGAUAUGCCAUCAAGACUGUAGAAGAAAGUCUAUCAGUAACACAAAAUCAAGAAGACUUUCAUCUUCUUUCAAAGAAAGUAAUAGAGAAACAUAAAGAAAAUAAUUAUAAAUAUUUACACAUUGGCCUCAUCCAAAUAGCAGUAAAACCUUUGACCCGUUUAGGGUUGAACACUUCUGUGCUUGAAUGCCUAAGAGAUACAAGACACAAUAUAUUCACAGACUCUCUACUCGGCAUGGUUGAAUCCAGCCUCUGUAGUGGUCCGAUAUAUUUUAAUUGUUUUCCUAAUUUUUCUGUUUCUUUAACCGACCCAAAUAUCCUAGAUAUAUUAACAAUAAAUCUCAAAACACAUGGAUUCAAUAUGAUCCAAGGAUCACAAAAUCUGGCUAUAGUAUAUAGAAUAUACUAUAAGGUCAUGAACACUUUAAGUCCCAAUACUUUAAAACUUGAUCAAAAAAAAAAAAUAAUAUAUAUAUAUAUAUAUAUAUAUGUGUGUGUGUAUGUAUGUAUGUCUAAAUUAUACGAGCAUGGGUGUACAACAAACUCAAGCAAAACCUGCCUCACCCAUAGGGCGAGGCCUAGUGACUCUGCCGAGUUCUGGUACCCUGCUUACA
rnacentral:lncRNA from 1 species